rnacentral:rRNA from 1 species
GACGAACGCUGGCGGCGUGCUUAACACAUGCAAGUCGAACGGAGUGGCGAACGGGUGAGUAACACGUAGGUGAUCUGCCUUGCACUUCGGGAUAAGCUUGGGAAACUGGGUCUAAUACCGGAUAGUGCAAGAUGAGCUCGCGGCCUAUAAGCUUGUUGGUGGGGUAAUGGCCUACCAAGGCGGCGACGGGUAGCCGGCCUGUGAGGGUGUACGGCCACAGUGGGACUGAGAUACGGACCAGACGGCUACGGGAGGCAGCAGUGGGGAAUAUUGCACAAUGGGCGGAAGCCUGAUGCAGCGACGCCGGGUGGGUGAGGAAGUCUUGCGGGUGGUAAACUCCUGUCGACAGGGACGCGGUACCUGUAUAAGAAGCACCGGCUAACUACGUGCCAGCAGCCGCGGUAAUAC